rnacentral:rRNA from 1 species
UGGGGAAUAUUGCACAAUGGGGGAAACCCUGAUGCAGCGACGCCGCGUGAGUGAAGAAGUAUUUCGGUAUGUAAAGCUCUAUCAGCAGGGAAGAAAAUGACGGUACCUGACUAAGAAGCCCCGGCUAACUACGUGCCAGCAGCCGNGGUA